rnacentral:tRNA from 1 species
CGUUUAUAUAGUUUAAUCAAAACACUAGACUGUGAACCUAGAAACAGAAAACAUUCUUAUAAACC